rnacentral:misc_RNA from 1 species
UAUAGAUUCGAAUCACUAGGAUGGAAAAUUAAAUUGAAUCAUAAGAUUCAAAUUGUAAGAUUCCAAAAGUUGUGAUUUUAUUCUAUAUUGUUUUGCCAUCAUAAGAUGAUGCAACGUGAAGCUUGAUAAAGAACACAUACUCGUACAAAGAGUGAAAAAUAAAGAGAAAAUUUUUAUUGUUGAAAAACUUAUUGAAAUACAUAAAAAUCUGGGGUAUUUAUAGAGUUUUUGGACUCCUAAACCUAAUAAGAAAAUAAAUCUACUAAUUAUGAAGUUUAAAUAAUCCUAAAUACAAUAGGAAGACAAAUAAAAUAGGAAUUAGCCUAAUCCUAGGUAGAAUAGGA